AUUGAACGCUGGCGGCAUGCUUUACACAUGCAAGUCGAACGGUAACAGGUUAAGCUGACGAGUGGCGAACGGGUGAGUAAUGCAUCGGAACGUGCCCGAUCGUGGGGGAUAACGCAGCGAAAGCUGCGCUAAUACCGCAUACGAUCUGAGGAUGAAAGCGGGGGACCGUAAGGCUUCGCGCGAUCGAAGCGGACGAUGUCAGAUUAGGUAGUUGGUGGGGUAAAGGCUCACCAAGCCGACGAGCUGUAGCUGGUCUGAGAGGACGACCAGCCACACUGGGACUGAGACACGGCCCAGACUCCUACGGGAGGCAGCAGUGGGGAAUUUUGGACAAUGGGCGCAAGCCUGAUCCAGCAAUGCCGCGUGCAGGAAGAAGGCCUUCGGGUUGUAAACUGCUUUUGUACGGAGCGAAAAGGCUCUCUCUAAUACAGGGGGUUCAUGACGGUACCGUAAGAAUAAGCACCGGCUAACUACGUGCCAGCAGCCGCCGUAA
rnacentral:rRNA from 1 species